GCGGGCCCAGGGCACCCUCGCGACGGACCCAGGCACUGAAGGCCUGCGGCUGCCGGCCAGGGCAGCGGUGCGGCGGAUGCGGCAGGGACCUGCGUGAGGACUCCCUGAGCCGCCGCGGGCCGCGAGCGAUCCUCCGCGAUGCCUCACGACUCCAUCAGAUCCGAUUUCAGGGCAAGCCCUUGGAUGCCCCACAUGGAUACAGUGAAAGGCUGCGCCUGCAUCGGUUGGUCCGAAAGAAAGGGCGCAGCGGAAGUGCCGUUCAGAACCCGCGCCCCGCCAGCAGCUGCCCGCCGUCUGGACAAGUGCUCCCAGCUUCCCUUCACCACAACGCCCGGUGGAAGGGGAAGCACCAGGCUGGUGGUGGAACGGUGCUUGUGGACAUCCUGCUGGAAUCCGGAACAUGCUAGGGUUUCAGUGGAGCUGGUCUCAGAGGAAAGUCGAGCUGGAGGGGGUGUGUGGGCUCUGUGUGCGGCUCAGGCAGGACCAGAGGAAGACUUGCUCCUAAAUGACCUAGAGCCAUACAAUAACCUUUAAUGAACAUUCACUAACCUUCUGUCUUCUCUCCCCUCCCCACCCACCGUCUUACAUUUUCCUGUUUUGUGUAACGAUAGCCCGGCUUUGGCACAACAGCAAACCCUAGUUGACCUUUAAAAGUCUGUGACUAGCUGAGCCCCAGGUCCCUGGGCCCUGCUCUGUUUUGCUCUUCAGCACUGAGGGGUCUCAGCAUCCUCAAAAAGGAGGUGGCAGGAAUGGGGUGACCCCCUGACUCGCCCUCGGUGUCUGGCUGUGCCUUCAAGGUGGGAACCAGGAGGAGGAACGAGGCCAUGGGGGGAGUGCCGGCGCAGGAGAGGUACCGGACCCAAGCUCGGAGCCGGCUGGAAUCUGAGGCCUGAGGUUUAAUUCAGUUUAGCAGUCUGCCCGAUGUGGGCAGGUGCCACGCCAGCCCUGGCAGCAUUUGCUGCCAGGGAGUCAAGGUAGAUGACAGGUGAGAGGCCCUCAGGUCCAGGAGCUGGAGUCCUGUGAUUCCCUCUCAAGUGGACAGAAUACCAGCGAGAGAGGAAAGAAUCAGACCGAACAAGUCAGUGGGGGGCCAAGACUGGAAAUUAACACCCUGGGUGGUGGACGCACCAAAGCCAUUUCUCUGAAUAGUCACCCAGUCCAACCACACCACCGCCAAUACCAGAUAAACCUCAUCCGGCCUGAGCCCCUGGAUGUUCUGGAAAGGCGGCAGGAGCCUGUAGGGUCAGCGGGCUCCACAUGGUCUCCACUGGCUCUAGGUCCAGGGUGGCCGGCGAGCUCCUGGCAAAACACUGCAGAGCUGUAGGUGCAAAUGCCGUGGAGGCCGGCCCACUUCUGCCAAAUCGAACGCUUGCUGAACACGCCCGUGCUUAACCCCGGUGCCUUCAGAGGUUUGCACUCUGCAGGACCCCCUCAGGGCGUCCCGUCUCCUUGGCAGUGUGACCAGGCCUGGGCCCUUCCAGCCCUUAAAUUCUGUGGUGCUAUGAUAGUGUCCAUACCAGGAAGAUUCCAUGUCCCCCUCUCCUGCUGGCCACAGAUCUGUCUGGAUAGGGGCCCCUAACUGGGCCUUGGGGAGACCCUUGCAGGUGGGGCUGGCUCUCUGGAGCUGUGCUGAUAGUGACACACACUGAGUGUCCCAAGGCACACGGAACAAACUGUGCUGGAUGCUGCUGAGCCAGUCACCCUUCUCUCAAGCUCUUCGAACCUGUCCGUCACACUGUCCACAGCCAGCAGCCAAAGUACCUGACAGACCAGCCUUCAGAGAGAUGUUCUGUUUGACACCCAUUUGCUAUCUUACAAAAUCCUUACCUUUAGAUCUCCCUCCUUGUGCGUAAGGCACAUCCCAGUUCAGAAAGGCGCAGCCCUCCGAGCGGUCCUCUGCAGGACGGAAGCUUCCCGGAGCCCACACCGCCAGAGGGGCAGGCAUGGAGGAGGAGAGUGUCUGCUUCAGGUCCCUGCAGACACCGAAGUCACGGUGCUCAAGGCCCCUGAAUACGAUGCAGAGACCAAUGCAGACCGUCGGCCUCCUGCAUCUGCAGACUGCCAGCUGUGGUCAAAAGCGGUACAGAUAUUUGCUGAAAAAAUUUGCAUGUGAGUUCAAGCCUGCAUUCUUCAAGGGUCAGCUGUGUUAUC